GAUGACAGACGAAUGACAGUCGCUCUCUGGUUUCCCAUCCCGCUCCUUCCCCACCCCCUCAUACCUUUCCCCAAGCAGAGAGAGAGAUAAUGACAGAGAGAUAAGGGAGACGACAGCGAAAUGGCGACAACAACACCAACAACUCCAUUCAAUGCCCGCCAGUCAGAAACAAGCGUUUGGCUGUAUUAGUGCGCGUGUGUGGGAAUGUGUGUGUGUGCCCGUGUGUGAGUGGGUGGGUGGGUGUAAAAGCCUGCUGCCCGAUUACCUCAUACUGAAAACUGCAUCUCCCACUAUAUACGAAAUAAAUGUUUAUGUGUUUGUAUGCACCCGAUGUGUGUUUGUAAUUUUCUGAUAAUU
ensembl:ncRNA lncRNA:CR44904 long non-coding RNA:CR44904